rnacentral:misc_RNA from 1 species
UACGGAGGGGGCUAGCGUUGUUCGGAUUUACUGGGCGUAAAGCGCACGUAGGCGGCGUAGCAAGUCAGAGGUGAAAGGCCCGGGCUCAACCUGGGAACGGCCUUUGAUACUGUUAUGCUUGAGUUCGGAAGAGGGUAGUGGAAUUCCAAGUGUAGAGGUGAAAUUCGUAGAUAUUUGGAAGAACACCGGUGGCGAAGGCGGCUACCUGGUCCGAUACUGACGCUGAGGUGCGAAAGCGUGGGGAGCGAACAGG